CGGCACUCGAGACUUCUUUUAAAAAGACAAGAAAAGGGAAGGAAAAUUCGUUUAUUAACUCUUCUUUACAUGAUACAAAAAUAGAGAUGGCAACAGUAAACUUAUUCACAGAAAACUACCUGACAUAAGACACUGUAUUUUGGUUGUCCAAGUACUCAACCUGGAGGCUGGUGACAGACCACAUGGUGUGGCAAAUGGCUGCAUAGCGUUCAGUGGUGAAGGUGACGAUAACCCAGCUUGUGGUGGCACAGUACAAUUGGCGGAUCAUGAAGUAGACCUUGCACACUGCUUGACCCAGACGCCAUGGGUAGCUCUCCCAGUAAUACCGAUACAAUGUUACUGGGAUGGUCAAGAGCUGCAGAAUGUCUAAAAU